rnacentral:misc_RNA from 1 species
AGUUUUCCAAUUCAUCGUGUAGUUUCUUAUCCAUGUUAGGAACAAGCUCUUGUAGUUUCUUCAACCUCCCACUUAUUCUGGUUCUUCUCUCCCUUUCAGCAAUGCUUCGUGGGUGAGUGGCACAGCCACGCUUGGCACGGAUUUUGCAUGGCACAGAAUCUUCAGGAAUAUUUAAUAGCUUCUCCACUGUUGCCAUCUCAAGACUAGUUUGA